CAAACGACUCUCGGCAACGGAUAUCUCGGCUCACGCAUCGAUGAAGAACGUAGCAAAAUGCGAUACUUGGUGUGAAUUGCAGAAUCCCGUGAACCAUCGAGUUUUUGAACGCAAGUUGCGCCUGGAGCCAUUCGGCUGAGGGCACGUCUGCGUGGGCGUCAUGC
rnacentral:rRNA from 1 species